rnacentral:rRNA from 1 species
AUUGAACGCUGGCGGCAUGCCUUACACAUGCAAGUCGAACGGCAGCACGGGUGCUUGCACCUGGUGGCGAGUGGCGAACGGGUGAGUAAUACAUCGGAACGUACCUUAUCGUGGGGGAUAACGCAGCGAAAGCUGUGCUAAUACCGCAUACGCCCUGAGGGGGAAAGCGGGGGAUCGCAAGACCUCGCGCGAUUAGAGCGGCCGAUGCCUGAUUAGCUUGUUGGUGGGGUAAAAGCCCACCAAGGCGACGAUCAGUAGCUGGUCUGAGAGGACGAUCAGCCACACUGGGACUGAGACACGGCCCAGACUCCUACGGGAGGCAGCAGUGGGGAAUUUUGGACAAUGGGGGCAACCCUGAUCCAGCAAUGCCGCGUGAGUGAAGAAGGCCUUCGGGUUGUAAAGCUCUUUUGUCAGGGAUGAAACACCGGCUCUAACACAGUCCGGGAAUGACGGUACCUGAAGAAUAAGCACCGGCUAACUACGUGCCAGCCGCCGCAGUAA